rnacentral:sRNA from 2 species
AUAUCUCUCUGUACGGGAAGGAUGAGAAGCUUCGACCAAGGCUCGAUUCGAGCGCAGCGAGAAAGCGUUGCCGCAGGCAACGACCCGAAGGGCGAAGCGCGCAGCGCUGAGUCAUCCUUCCCCCACCACCA